rnacentral:lncRNA from 1 species
UUCUGUCUCUCUCUGCAGUGCUCAUAUAGCUAGGCUAGGCUAGGUGCUAGACUCACAGGGCUCUCCUUCUGUCCCUCACUGCAGUGCUCAUAUAGCUAGGCUAGGCUAGGUGCUAGGCUCACAGGGCUCUCUCUGCUUCUGUCUCUCUCUGCAGUGCUCAGAUAGCUUGGUUAGGUGCUAGCUCACAGGGCUCUCUCUCCUUCUGUUCUCUCUGCAGUGCUCUGGUAGCUAGGCUAGGCUAGGUGCUAGGCUCACAGGGUCUCUGUCCUUCUGUCU